AUCGUACGAUUUCGAAACGGGGCUUGUGGAUGCUUAUCUGUAGGUAAAGAUUGUCGUGUAAUUAUUAAUGCCCUUCUCCUUCCACAGAAAGCUUUAUAUUCAUCCUCGUCGUUUUGAUUGAAGGUCAUGGUUGCUUUAUUGAUCAGUUUCAUCCUGGCAGUUCCAGGACAUUUUGGAUGUUUUACGUCUGCUCUCGCGGCCAGUCCAAAACAGUGCGUGCACUGAUAGCCAAAGUUACUAUGACAUGAAGUGACGUGCCUCUCCGCAUACUGAUAUUUGGCGAAUUCUGCGUUCAUACAUAGUUUACACCCAUAAAAAAAAAAUAAAAAUAAAGAGUUGAUAAUUUAUGACAUCUUUAACCAAUUGGGUAUAUUAUUUCCCGUAUACGGUUUCAGAUGAUUAUGGUGGACCAUUUUAGGUUGGGUCUUUGGGGAUUUUUGUAUUUUAUAGACUACAUUAUUAAGACAUUUUGUCACCAGGUAGGGUCCCUCCCAUGGACACCUUAACUUUGAACCUCCACCUUUGUAUUUGUGGUUAUAAUACCAUACAGGACUGCCGGCAUUGUAUGGAUUUAAUUGAAUAGAUCUAUCGUGAUCAACUUUCAUGUUUGCCGUGGCUUGUUUUAAACGCCCUCUAGCAAAACUAUGUAUUCGUUCUAUUUUAUUUUGUAAGUCAAAAGCAUAGUCUGACUUUAUUUUUAAAUUUGUAGGUUCCACUGAUCCGAGAAUGAGAUCUACUGGAAGACGGAUGUUGCGGCCGAAGACCAUUUCACAUGGAGAAACGCCCAGUGAUUCGUGUUCUGCAGAACGAUACGCUGACAUGAGAAGGGAAGAGGAAGAUAAUGGAUUUUUGUUUAAUUGGUCUAUUGGAGCACUUGUGCAAGCCAAAACAUUAAGGUUUUCAUUGGAGGUUUGCUUGUUGGAGCCUCUGGAAGACUUUUUUUAAAUUGGAUAAGUGCUCGUCAAAGGAUUUUGCAAAGAUAAUGAUAUCAUCCAGGGGGACGCGACGAGGAUGCUGACGAAUUGGUGGAGCACAACCAGUAUUAAUCCAAUGCUCAGCUUCAUUGGUGAUGCCUAUAUCAGAUGAAUCUUUGGAAAAGGAGCUACGUGAUGAUUGCUGCAAUGGUUGUCCCUUAUUUAGGGUAUUUAUCAAGUGUUUGGUAGUUUUAUCCAAUGAUGUGAUUGAACCAUUCAAGAUUUUUCCGUUGAUCCAAAACGAAUACUUAGGAGGGUUGUGAGGGUAUGGAAAUCCGUUCUCUGGAUAGUAUUUAAUUCUGACAAGAUUGUCCUGGCGUUUCCAGACAAACUACUGGCUAGUUCCUGAGACAUCACCAUCAACUGAUUCUACCGAGGGCAUAUCCGGAUCAGUGUCUGGGAUAAUUUCGAACUCUGGGGACAAGGAUUUGGUUGCC